AGCGCGAACGCUGGCGGCAUGGCUAAAACAUGCAAGUCGAACGCGAAAGUACCUUCGGGUGCGAGUAGAGUGGCGAAAGGGCGAGUAAUGCGUUUCUACAUACCCUCAGGUCAGGGAUAGUCCGGGGAAACCCGGCUUAAUACCUGAUGUGGUCUCCGGAUCAAAGGCUUCGGCCGCCAGAGGAGUGGGGAACGUCCUAUCAGGUUGUUGGUGAGGUAACAGCUCACCAAGCCUAUGACGGGUAGCGGGUGUGAGAGCAUGACCCGCCGCAUCGGGACUGAGACACUGCCCGGACUCCUACGGGAGGCUGCAGUAACGAAUCUUCCGCAAUGCGCGAAAGCGUGACGGAGCAAUGCCGCGUGCAGGAUGAAUCCCUUCGGGGUGUAAACUGCUGUCAGGGUUUAGCAACACAAUGAGCAGACCCAAAGGAAGGGCCGGCUAACUUCGUGCCAGCAGCCGCGGUAAUACGAAGGGCCCGAGCGUUGCGCGGAAUUAUUGGGCUUAAAGCGUACGUAGGCGGACACGCAGGCGUUUUGUGAAAUCCCUCGGCUCAACCGAGGAACUGCUUGACGAACCGCGUGUCUUGAGGCAAGUAGGGGCUGUCGGAACGAUAGGUGGAGUGGUGAAAUGCGUUGAUAUCUAUCGGAACGCCGAAGGAGAAAUCAGGCAGCUGGGCUUGUUCUGACGCUGAGGUACGAAAGCGUGGGUAGCGAACGGGAUUAGAUACCCCGGUAGUCCACGCCGUAAACGAUGUGCACUAGAUCGAGGGGAUUCUGACAUCGCUCUCGGUCGAAGCGAAAGUGUUAAGUGCACCGCCUGGGGAGUACGGUCGCAAGGCUA
rnacentral:rRNA from 1 species